rnacentral:rRNA from 1 species
CCUACGGGUGGCAGCAGUGAGGAAUAUUGGUCAAUGGGCGGGAGCCUGAACCAGCCAAGUCGCGUGAGGGAAGACGGUCCUGUGGAUUGUAAACCUCUUUAGGCGGGGAGCAAUGCCGGGCACGCGUGCCCGGAGGGAGAGUACCCGAAGAAUAAGCAUCGGCUAACUCCGUGCAAGCAGCCGCGGUAAUACGGAGGAUGCGAGCGUUAUCCGGAUUUAUUGGGUUUAAAGGGUGCGUAGGCGGAUUUUUAAGUCAGCGGUAAAAUGUCCGGGCUCAACCCGGGCCGGCCGUUGAAACUGGGGAUCUUGAGUGUGCGAGAAGUAUGCGGAAUGCGUGGUGUAGCGGUGAAAUGCAUAGAUAUCACGCAGAACUCCGAUUGCGAAGGCGGAUUGCUGGACACUAACUGACGCUGAGGCGCGAAAGCGUGGGGAGCGAACAGGAUUAGAUACCCUAGUAGUC